rnacentral:rRNA from 1 species
AACGAACGCUGGCGGCAUGCCUAACAUAUGCAAGUCGAACGAGACCUUCGGGUCUAGUGGCGCACGGGUGCGUAACGCGUGGGAACCUGCCCUUAGGUUCGGAAUAACUCCCCGAAAGGGGUGCUAAUACCGGAUAAUGUCUUCGGACCAAAGAUUUAUCGCCUUUGGAUGGGCCCGCGUUGGAUUAGCUAGUUGGUAGGGUAAAAGCCUACCAAGGCGACGAUCCAUAGCUGGUCUGAGAGGAUGAUCAGCCACACUGGGACUGAGACACGGCCCAGACUCCUACGGGAGGCAGCAGUGGGGAAUAUUGGACAAUGGGCGAAAGCCUGAUCCAGCAAUGCCGCGUGAGUGAUGAAGGCCUUAGGGUUGUAAAGCUCUUUUACCCGGGAUGAUAAUGACAGUACCGGGAGUAUAAGCUCCGGCUAACUCCGUG